UCCCUGGUGGUCUAGUGGCUAGGGCUGCGCUCCCAAUGCAGGGGGUCCAGGUUCAAUCCCUGGGCAGGGAA
rnacentral:tRNA from 1 species